AUUGAACGCUGGCGGCAGGCCUAACACAUGCAAGUCGAGCGAGCGGCGGACGGGUGAGUAAUGUAUGGGGACUGCCCGAUAGAGGGGGAUAACUACUGGAAACGGUAGCUAAUCCCGCAUACCAUCAGAUAGACCAUAUGGGAUUCGCUAGUAGGUGGGGUAAUGGCUCACCUAGGCGACGAUCCCUAGCUGGGCUGAGAGGAUGAUCCGCCACACUGGGACUGAGACACGGUCCAGACUCCUACGGAGGCAGCAGGGGGUAAUAUGGCACAAGGGGCGCAAGCCUGAUGCAGCAAUGCCGCGUGUAUGAAGAAGGCCCUCGGGUUGUAAAGUACUUUCAGUCGGGAGGCGUUACCGACAGAAGAAGCACCGGCUAACUCCGUGCCAGCAGCCGCGGUAAUUC
rnacentral:rRNA from 1 species